AUGGCGCUCUUCAGGGCUUCUACCACCAUCUCCUUGGGCAAUGGGAGAAAAUCCUUAUUCUGGCACGACGACUGGACAGGACGGGGCCCCCUGUCCCGGGCCUUCUCGGAGCUGUAUAAGAUUGCCACCAGGAAGAGGAGAACUGUGAUGAAGGAGCUCCAGGAGGAGAUCUGGAUCAGAUCGGUGGCCCGUCUUUCAUCGCCUACCCAUCUGCAGGAGUUCAUUGCCCUCGCAUCAGCUAUCUCUCAGGUUGAGUUGAACCCGGACCAGGAGGACUCCAUCACUUGGUGGUGGACCCCAAAUGGCAUAUACUCUGCUGCUUCGGCCUACGCGGUCUAG
rnacentral:rRNA from 1 species